rnacentral:tRNA from 1 species
GCCGGUGUAACUCAGCGGUAGAGUAGCGGUUUUGUAAACCGCAAGUCGCCAGUUCGAAUCUGGCCGCCGGCU